UUCAGGACAGUGAAUCUCCAAGGUAUCUGGCAGGUGUUCUGCGGCAGAGUGGCUUGUGCAACUAGUAUGAUAACAGAAAUCUGUAAGUCCCGUGGCUGGCAUGGUCCCAGGCCUGAGAGUUAUGAAGAAAAGUAUGAACGCCGACAAGAGAAACGUGAAAACCUGCGCAAAAAGAACCGGACUGUGUGCCGUCUUGCACAUAAAUACCAUGGGAAAAAAGACAAAGAAAUAUUUCGAAGUGCCCGAGAGCAAGAGUUCCUCAGAAGAAGACACUUAGUUACUGAAACACCAAAAAGGAAGGAUAUUCAGCGGCCUCCUAGCAGAGAGGAGUCUUGGAAUAACUGCAACUUGCAGCUUCAUACCAAAUCUGUACAGCAUGACUUCAGUGAUAGUUUUGUCACUGUGAAUCUGAAUGGUUCUUCUAAAAACACAUUUGCUAUGAAAGUUUCACAAAGCUGUAAAGGUACACAGACAUCAGAUGAGUCCAGUGCAGCAAAGAAAAACUCAGGUCAACAAACAGAGUAAGGAGUCCCCUUACUAAACAUCAUUUCUU
rnacentral:lncRNA from 1 species